UACAGAGGUCUCAAGCGUUGUUCGGAUUCAUUGGGCGUAAAGGGUGUGUAGGUGGCGCCGUAAGUCGGGUGUGAAAAUUUCGGAGCUUAACUCCGAAACUGCAUUCGAUACUGCGGUGCUUGAGGACUGGAGAGGAGACUGGAAUUCAUGGUGUAGCAGUGAAAUGCGUAGAGAUCAUGAGGAAGACCAGUGGCGAAGGCGGGUCUCUGGACAGUUCCUGACACUGAGACACGAAGGCCAGGGGGAGCAAACGGG
rnacentral:rRNA from 1 species